rnacentral:rRNA from 1 species
UACGUAGGGUGCGAGCGUUGUCCGGAAUCACUGGGCGUAAAGCGCACGUAGGCGGAUGUGUCAGUCAGGGGUGAAAUCCCGGAGCUCAACUCCGGAACUGCCUCUGAUACAGCACGUCUUGAGUUCGAGAGAGGUGGGUGGAAUUCCUAGUGUAGAGGUGAAAUUCGUAGAUAUUAGGAAGAACACCGGUGGCGAAGGCGGCCCACUGGCUCGAUACUGACGCUGAGGUGCGAAAGCGUGGGGAGCAAACAGG